GACGAACCGUGCGAACGUUGUUCGGAAUCACUGGGCUUAAAGGGCGCGUAGGCGGCUUACCAAGUCAGGGGUGAAAUUUUGCGGCUUAACCGUAACAGUGCCUUUGAUACUGGUAGGCUCGAGGGAGGUAGGGGUUCGCGGAACUUCUGGUGGAGCGGUGAAAUGCGUUGAUAUCAAGAGGAACACCUGAGGUGAAGACGGGUUGCUGGGCUGACACUGACGCUGAGGCGCGAAAGCCAGGGGAGCAAACGGG
rnacentral:rRNA from 1 species